CUACUACUCCCUCCGUUCGGAAUUACUUGUCUCGGAAAUGGAUGUACCUAGAACUAAAAUACAUCUAGAUACAUCCAUUUCUACGACAAGUAAUUCCGAACGGAGGGAGUAGGAA
rnacentral:pre_miRNA from 1 species